GGGGUGUUUAACGACCUCGAUGAUUAUCCAUGAGGGUCUCGCACUCGGUCAGCUCUAGGUUUUCACCUAGUUCAUGAUCAUACAAGAAUUGAGAAGCCUGUGUUUUACUAUUCUUAUAAUAUGAGACUUUGGAGUUCAUAUAAUUUACAUUCAACGUUUUUUAUCGAAUAUUUCAGGGCUUUUUGACCAUCAAUGUUGAACCCCCCCUUCAAAUUGAUUGGAUAAAAUGAAUGGAUUGCCGCCCCUAUUUCAAACUUAAGUCUUAUAAACUGACUGGUAUUCGAAUUUGUUAAAAGAAAUAAUUGGUAUCUCUAUUGAUUCAAUACCGUAAUGCCGAAAAACAAUCAUUUGUUUCCGCAAAUUCCGAACAGCUAGAAAUAUAUUCCCGAGUUUCAAUUUGAGUGACUCGAAUAAUUCAAGCCCUUUCCA
rnacentral:lncRNA from 1 species